rnacentral:rRNA from 1 species
GACGAACGCUGGCGGCGUGCUUAACACAUGCAAGUCGAACGAAGUGGCGAACGGGUGAGUAAUACGUGGGUAACCUGCCCUCCUUUUUGGGAUAAGCCUUGGAAACGGGGUCUAAUACCGAAUAUAGGGGGAUGGGCUGUCGGCCUAUCAGCUUGUUGGUGGGGUGAUGGCCUACCAAGGCGGGGACGCGUGGCCGGCCUGAGAGCGUGACCGGCAAUGUUGGGACUGAGAUACGGCCAAGAGUCCUACGGGAGGCGGCAGUGGGGGAAUUUGCGCAAGGGGCGAAAGCCUGAUGCAGGGACGCCGUGUGGGGGAUGAAGGCUUUAGGGUUGUAAACCUCUGUCGCUAUCGAGCGGGUAGGUGGUGAGGAAGCGCCGGCUAACUACGUGCCAGCAGCCGCGGUAAUUC